rnacentral:rRNA from 1 species
CACGCAGGCGGUUUGCUCAGUCCUUUGUGAAAGCCCGGGGCUCAACCCCGGAAUUGCAUGGGAUACUGGCAGACUUGAGACUGGUAGAGGCUAGCGGAAUUCCUGGUGUAGCGGUGGAAUGCGUAGAUAUCAGGAAGAACACCUGUGGCGAAGGCGGCUAGCUGGGCCAGUUCUGACGCUCAUGUGCGAAAGCGUGGGAGCAAACA